rnacentral:rRNA from 1 species
GACGAACGCUGGCGGCGUGCCUAACACAUGCAAGUCGAACGAAGUGGCGAACGGGUGAGUAACGUGUAAUCAACCUGCCCUUCAGAGGGGGACAACAGUUGGAAACGACUGCUAAUACCGCAUACUGCAGUAGGGGAUUUCGUCUGAUUAGCUAGUUGGCGGGGUAACGGCCCACCAAGGCGAUGAUCAGUAGCCGGUCUGGGAGGAUGAACGGCCACAUUGGGACUGAGACACGGCCCAGACUCCUACGGGAGGCAGCAGUGGGGAAUCUUCCGCAAUGGACGAAAGUCUGACGGAGCAACGCCGCGUGAGUGAUGACGGCCUUCGGGUUGUAAAGCUCUGUUAAUCGGGACGCGGUACCGGAAUAGAAAGCCACGGCUAACUACGUGCCAGCAGCCGCGGUAAUUC